rnacentral:lncRNA from 1 species
CUCCAGUUCUUCUGUUGCUCCAGUGAUUACAAGGGCACACGAAUCUGAUGUCUUAAUGGAUGCUGCAUCAUUUACACCACCAGAUUAUGGAGGCAAUUCAUCAUCAUUCAUUGAAGAUGGAGCACCGAGAAGUAUGAGUAACAGAUCUGGUGCUAGUGGUCCAGAUAACGUCGCAGCACGUAACCAUAAUCAUCUAUUUCAAGGAAACUAUGUAGGUCAAGCCCAUCAGUUGCCUGGCAAUCCUUGGUUGGACCGGCAGUUCAACAGCAAUGGUAGUGGCUCUCAAACUUGAAGAAGUAUGAGUGACAGAUCUGGUGCUAGUGGUCCAGAUAAUGUGGCAGCACAUAACCAUAAUCAUCUAUUUCAAGGAAGCUAUGUAGGUCAACCCCAUCAGUUGCCUGGCAAUCCUUGGUUGGACCGGCAGUUC